UUCCGGUUGAUCCUGCCGGACCCGACUGCUAUCAGAGUGAGAUUAAGCCAUGCGAGCUAACGUAGCAAUACGUGGCGCACGGCUCAGUAACACGUAGUCAACAUGCCCAGAGGACGUGGAUAACCUCGGGAAACUGAGUCUAAACCGCGAUAAGUGAGGAUUUCUGGAAUGGUUCCUGACUAAAAUCUAUAUGGCCUCUGGAUUGGACUGCGGCCGAUCAGGCUGUUGGUGAGGUAAUGGCCCACCAAACCUGUAACCGGUACGGGCUCUGAGAGGAGGAGCCCGGAGAUGGGCACUGAGACAAGGGCCCAGGCCCUAUGGGGCGCAGCAGGCGCGAAACCUCUGCAAUAGGCGAAAGCCUGACAGGGUUACUCUGAGUGAUUUCCGCUAAGGGAAUCUUUUGGCACCUCUAAAAAUGGUGCAGAAUAAGGGGUGGGCAAGUCUGGUGUCAGCCGCCGCGGUAAUACCAGCACCCCGAGUGGUCGGGACGAUUAUUGGGCCUAAAGCAUCCGUAGCCGGUCCUGCAAGUCUUCCGUUAAAUCCAGCUGCUCAACAGAUGGGCUGCGGGAGAUACUACAGGGCUAGGAGGCGGGAGAGGCAAGCGGUACUUUAUGGGUAGGGGUAAAAUCCGCUGAUCCAUAGAAGACCACCAGUGGCGAAGGCGGCUUGCCAGAACGCGCUCGACGGUGAGGGAUGAAAGCUGGGGGAGCAAACCGGAUUAGAUACCCGGGUAGUCCCAG
rnacentral:rRNA from 1 species